CACAAAUGAGCCCAUAUGGGCGUUUUAACAGUUGAUAUGCCAUUUUUCCCCCCUAGCUUAAAAUGAGUACUCCCACGAGAAGAAGUAAAAUAAGCUAGAACCAUUAUUGUACCCCCGACCCCAUUUGAUGGGGCAUUGCGGUUGUAAAAUGGGGGUUUUCAAGGAAUAACGGUGGCGUAGGGGAAAUUGAGACGAGCCAAACAGAGAAAAGAAUAACUCAGCCAUGACCAACAAGGCAGUCAGCCGCAGCGACAAUUUCAGUAGGAUUAUUUCUGCAGUCAGAUUCGAAAUAUCCCGCGCAAUGUGUGUCGGCGCUGUUUUUCUGUUCGGAGUAGCCGCGCCUUGGUGCUGCAGAGGACGCCGAAGUCGGAACUACGCGCGGAGGAACACCAGCCUUCGGAGCGCGCGCGCGUGCGUUGGAAGCUGCGAUCGAGCAGCCAUUUGCCAGCGACGGCACAUUCUUCUACCGUGGUUGAUGUUUCUCACUGCUUUGAACCCCCAAGACUCCACGGACUGCGGCUGCGGUCGUUUCAUUGCCAACUGUGAGGAUGAAGCAGCUCCAUGGCCGGAGAUCGGGUGCCUCCCAUCAGUUUCCCUUUUCAGCAAUAGAGGCCUUGGAGGCCUUUCUACCUGCAUUGCAUCCUGUGGCUGGACCACUCCAACGAUCUCGGCGGAAUCGUUACACAGGAAGAAGUCUGGCUGGCCCCAAGCCUGGUGCAAAAUGAAGAAAUGGCACUCCACAUCAAUUCAUGUUUACUUGUCGUCAUAACCAGUCUGUUAGCUUAAUUUUUGGUUCUUCCUAUUGAAUUCUCAAGAAAGGUACCAACUCUGUCAUUCAUUGAAAACAAAUUUUUGCACUUGGGGAUGCAGCCAUGCACAAAGCCUUUGAGCUCAUUAAUAUCUUUAUUUUUUAAAGAAAGUGCAGCUCCUGCGUGAAGCAAUAGGUUGAAUAAGACGAGGGUAAAUGAAAAGAUGGCGAAAUUAGUCAUCAACAGUUGUCCAACAAAGGAAGUCUCAAGCUGGAGGCAACAUCUUUGCAAGAGAACCAAAUGGCUCCAGCCUGAGACAUUCGUUGUUCAACCUGGCAAGUCUCCUUCUCGAAAUAUUUCCUCUAGCCUGAGACCUAUAUCCAUUCCACCACCCUUGACCAACAAUACACCUAUACAUUUGGUAACCCAUGGAAAGGUAGCAAAUUCACAUUCAAGGAAAGGGAAUGUAGUGUGCACCCUGGAAGGUAGCAUGAACAGUAUUUUAUUUACUUAAUGAAAUGCAGAUUUGCUAUCCAAUUACUUUAUUUUGAUCCCCGUUUUAUAAUUGGACAGCAUGGUUCCUCAGAGAGAAUAAUAAUUCGAAGCUCACACAAUUUUGCUCCUUUAUGUCCGUUAAAUCUGUCCUGGUUGCUACACUAUCAGCCCUGUCUGCAAUUGCAUAGCAGUGUUUUGAGCAUGCAUCCAAAUUCAAAAGAAUAGUUAGGCUUCUACCUCAGAAUGUUUGCUACUGUGUUGCAGCUCGAAUUCUAUGUCUAGGUGGUCACUGUGAUGCCAUGUGCUUUUUAAAUAAGACCAAUAUGCUAUUUGAAGGGCAAUUAAAUGCAAUCUCAAAUGACCUCAGCUCGGGGAAUGACACAAUUGGAGGUCAAUGUGAUAAGGAGGAUUUGAUUUCUGAAAACAAGGCACUUAAACGGGAGAAAGCAUGACUAAUUUUGUUUAAAGAUGCUGCUAUUGGAUAUGAUCAGGGAAGGUACUUGUUCGUGGCUGCAUUUGCAACAUGUUACAUUGCUGGCUUUAUAUAUUGCACUGGGUACAGUGAAAUGUUGCUGCUUGCACAAUAUUCAACUAAACAUGGUAGCCAUGCUAAUGUGUCCAUGCAGAACACAACUCAUCCACUAUUAUGGACUACAGUGGAAUCUCGAUAAACGAAAAUCGCUUCGAAACUGCCGCUUAAAUAGGACACCAUCCUGAUAAUUGGUUGGCUCUCUGCAAUGUCUCUCAGUAAAUAUAAUGCCUGGUAAAUGGAACCAAUUUCCCUGGCACCUUGAGGCUCCAUUUAAAGAGCACCUACUGUAAAAAUAUAGGGGGGAUCGUGUUUGGAACUUUCGUAAAUGUAGUCUUAAACAAAACCGCAUUUCAGUGGGAGCGAAAUGCAAAAGCACCCGUGUACUUAGGUGCAUGUUAAAGAACCCUAGGUUGUCCAAAUUAAUUCGGGGUUACUCGCUAUGGCAUGUGUCAUAAUCAGAAGGUGGGUUCUGGUUCGUAAAAUACAAUAAUUUUUAAUAGCUUGCUCAGAAAUCCAGCACUAAAUUAUGUAGCUCGUUUGUGAUGAGUCCCAAUUUCUUAAUUUAGUACUUUGACAUUUUUCAUAUUUGUGUGCUAGUCCAUGCAAAAUACCACUGAUCGGCCUCAUUAUACCAGCCACUGUUAAUUAGGAAUGGCUUAGUCAAGCAACUUAAACUUACAGCACAAACACCUAAGACGAACCACAAAAGGAAGAUACGACACACACUGGUGCUAACAACUUCUUUAUUUCUUCGUCGUCGAUGCAAUAUAAACCCUAAGCCACACUACCGCACAGGCACUCAGAUUACAUUACAGAGAUCUGCCAAAUUAUCACAUACGCAAGCGUAGGAAGUCAAAUUCAGAUGGAUGCAGGGACAAAGAUAUCUUACUAAUGCAACUAUCGCCCUGCCUUUCUUGUGGUAGGCCUCUAAGGCAAGCCGCACAUGCUCAUUCUUGCUUUUGCCAAGAAUCGACGUCCCAUCAAGUUGUGCCUCACAAUUGUUGCAAGAGUUUAUAUGCGCACCAAGGUGCGCUCCUCUAUCUACAUUUUUGUUUACUUGUUGCGCAUGUUCCCUGAGUCGCUCAUUGACGCAAUGCCCUAUCUAGCCAAGCUAUGUCUUACCACGUGAGAGUGAAUGGUAUAAACCACGCCGACCGCGCACAACACGUAUGAAGCAUCAUGCCGAAUUUGGCAUCCUCCUCUGCCCUCUCCGCAGGUGCGGGAGCAUAGCUUUAAGGGCUCAUUCACACCGGCGACUGACAGUGGUCGCGCGACCAAGUUGGUCGCAAAGCGACCAGUCGCAAAUGGUCGCAAACGGUCGCCUUUCUUGAAAAGCGACCAUUUUGGGCCAGUCGCUCUCUGCGCGAUUUUUCAGUCGCGCGACUGUGGUCGCAAAACUGAUAAACCAAUCAGCGGCGCACCGGAAGUGAUCUUUCGUGUGUCUACAUCCGGCCUCCUCCGGCGUCGCGUUCAAAUUCCACGUAGAUUCCGAGAGUUCUCGCUGAGAACGAUAAUCUCCGGGAUUGCGACUUGCGGGUCGCGCUCAGCCGGGCUUGCCGGUGUGAGCAUCAGUCGCCUUCGGUCGCUUUUUGAUUGCGAGUCGCAAAUGGUCGCGCGACCUCCUCAAGUCGCCGGUGUGAAUGUGCCCUAAAAGCUUGUUCGGUGCAGAAAACGCCAAAGGAACACUAUGCCUGCAAGCAAUUUUCUUGAGUUGAUAGAUGACCUUAUGUGUUUAAGGGACCGCGCAGGGAACAUGCACAAAAAGUAAACAAAAAUGUAGAUGGAAGAGCGCACAUUGUUGCGCAUAUAAACUCUUGCAAAAAUUGUGAGGCACGACUUGAUGGGACGUCGAUUCUUGGCAAAAGCAUGAAUGAGCUUGCGCGGCUUGCCUUAGAGGCCUACCACAUAAAAAGGCAAAAUGAUAAUUGCAUCAGUGACAUAGCUUUGUCCCUGCACCCAUCUGAAUUUGAGUUCCUACGUUUGCAUAUGUUAUAAUUUGGGAGAUCUCUGUAAUGUAAUGUGUGCGCCUGUGCAGUUGUGUGGCCUAGGGCAUAUAUAUGCAUCGACGACGAAGAAAUAAAGAAGUUGUCAGUUAGCGCCAGCGUCUGUCGUAUCUGCCUUUUGCGGUUCGUCUUAGGUGUUUGCGCUGUAAGUUUUAAGUUCAGAAUUAUGUACCAACUAGGCCAAAUGAAGUUUUACUCUUAGUCAAGCGAGCUCAAUAUAUAGUCUGUGCAAAAGUGUGGAGUGUCAGUACAAAGUAACAGUUCAAACACAUGGCUCUGUAGUUACAGUUCAGUAUGAAAGGAGAUAAGAUUUCUUAGCAUUUCUUUCAUUUACUAAUUUCAUUGUGUUAGGACAUGUAGAAUACUAGCAACUGGCAUGCUUACAAUGUACAGUGCUCUUUUUUAAAAUCCAGACAAUUGUUUUACUGGGGCAGAAAUGUGCUUUCUUUUGGGCCCGGAAGUGAACAUAUUAUAUUUCUUACAUUUGGUGUAAAAUAAAUUUUCUUCACUGUCA